GCCUUUGUGGUGUAGUGGUCAGCACGCUCGACGCGUAACCGAGAGGUCCAUGGUUCGAUUUCCGGCGAAGGCG
rfam:Stegodyphus mimosarum contig115325, whole genome shotgun sequence.